rnacentral:rRNA from 1 species
AAAUGAAUUGACGGGACCCCGCACAAGCGGUGGAUCAUGUUCUUUAAUUCGACGAUACGCGAAGAACCUUACCAGGUCUUGACAUCCCCUGCAAGUGCUUAGAGAUAAGCAGGAGGUUAUCAGGGAGACAGGUGGUGCAUGGUUGUCGUCAGCUCGUGUCGUGAGAUGUUGGGUUAAGUCCCGCAACGAGCGCAACCCUUAUUGCUAGUUGCCAUCAUUAAGUUGGGCACUUUAGCGAGACUGCCAGUGACAAACUGGAGGAAGGUGGGGAUGACGUCAAAUCAUCAUGCCCCUUAUGACCUGGGCUAGAAACGUGAUACAAUGGCUGAAACAAAGGGAGGCGAAAGAGUGAUCUGGAGCGAAACCCAAAAAAGCAGUCUCAGUUCGGAUUGAAGUCUGCAAUUCGACUUCAUGAAGCAGGAAUCGCUAGUAAUCGCAGAUCAGAAUGCUGCGGUGAAUACGUUCUCGGGGUUUGUACACACCGCCCGU